rnacentral:tRNA from 1 species
GGCGUGUUCGUCUAGUGGUCUAGGACGCUGGCCUCUCACGCCGGUAACACGGGUUCGAGUCCCGUACACGCUA